GACGAACGCUGGCGGCGUGCUUAACACAUGCAAGUCGAACGGAAAGGCCCUGCUUGCAGGGUGCUCGAGUGGCGAACGGGUGAGUAACACGUGGGUGAUCUGCCCCUUAUUUUGGGAUAAGCCUGGGAAACUGGGUCUAAUACUGGAUAGGACCAUGCUGUAGGUGGUGUGGUGGAAAGAUUAGUUUCGGUAAGGGAUGAGCUCGCGGCCUAUCAGCUUGUUGGUGGGGUAAUGGCCUACCAAGGCGUCGACGGGUAGCCGGCCUGAGAGGGUGGACGGCCAGAUUGGGACUGAGAUGCGGCCCAGACUCCUACGGGAGGCAGCAGUGGGGAAUAUUGCACAAUGGGCGCAAGCCUGAUGCAGCGACGCCGCGUGGGGGAUGACGGCCUUCGGGUUGUAAACUCCUUUCGGCCAUGACGAAGCCCUUGUGGUGACGGUAGUGGUAGAAGAAGCACCGGCUAACUACGUG
rnacentral:rRNA from 1 species